rnacentral:rRNA from 1 species
CGCGGCCUAUCAGCUUGUUGGUGAGGUAAUGGCUCACCAAGGCUUCGACAGGUAGCCGGCCUGAGAGGGCGACCGGCCACACUGGGACUGAGAUACGGCCCAGACUCCUACGGGAGGCAGCAGUGGGGAAUAUUGCACAAUGGGCGCAAGCCUGAUGCAGCAACGCCGCGUGCGGGAUGACGGCCUUCGGGUUGUAAACCGCUUUCAGUAGGGACGAAGCUAACGUGACGGUACCUACAGAAGAAGGACCGGCUAACUACGUGCCAGCAGCCGCGGUGAUACGUAGGGUCCGAGCGUUGUCCGGAAUUAUUGGGCGUAAAGGGCUUGUAGGCGGUCCGUCGCGUCAGGAGUGAAAACUCGGGGCUUAACCCCGAGCCUGCUUUUGAUACGGGCGGACUAGAGGGAUGCAGGGGAGAACGGAAUUCCUGGUGGAGCGGUGGAAUGCGCAGAUAUCAGGAGGAACACCGGUGGCGAAGGCGGUUCUCUGGGCAUCACCUGACGCUGAGAAGCGAAAGCGUGGGGAGCAAACAGGCUUAGAUACCCUGGUAGUCCACGCCGUAAACGGUGGGCACUAGGUGUGGGGGACAUUCCACGUUCUCCGUGCCGAAGCUAACGCAUUAAGUGCCCCGCCUGGGGAGUACGG